rnacentral:rRNA from 1 species
UACGUAGGUGGCAAGCGUUGUCCGGAAUUACUGGGCGUAAAGCGCGUGUAGGCGGCCCUGCAAGUCGGGUGUGAAAGCCCUCGGCUCAACCGAGGAAGUGCACUCGAAACUGCAGGGCUUGAGUCCCGGAGAGGAUAGUGGAAUUCUCGGUGUAGAGGUGAAAUUCGUAGAUAUCGAGAGGAACACCGGUGGCGAAGGCGGCUAUCUGGACGGUGACUGACGCUGAGACGCGAAAGCGUGGGGAGCAAACAGG